rnacentral:lncRNA from 1 species
AGAGGUGGCAGGAACUAGGGCGGAAAGUGGAGGCGGGACCUGCGUGGCUGCCCUGCCUCUGUCCUGAUGCCAGGAGGUCGCCUAGCAACUGCCUGGUGGAAGUAGCUUCUAGGGUCACGGACCCUUUUAGGCACUCUUUAUGCUAGCAAGCCAAAGCCUGUUCUAACAAACCUGUUACUGAGCUGAGCUGCCUGAGUAGCAGUGCCGGAAAAAGUUUUAUUUCAUUCAUCACUAUUUUCCACUGCCUCGCUGGAUGAGGUACAGAAGUCUCAGAAAGAUCGCAUUGCCUAGCAUCAGGAGCAAGGGCGUUACUGUUACAGAGCAGGAGAGAGCAAGAUUAGAGGAAGAGAUCAAAGAAGAACUUCUUUGGAGAAUUUUAAAGAAAGAACUUGUUAAGAGAACUUUUAGAGAGAGAACUUUGUGGAGAACUUAGAAAUAAAGAUUAAAAUCACUUUUCAA